rnacentral:tRNA from 1 species
UCCGUUGUGGUCUAGUGGCUAGGAUUUGUCGCUCUCAAGAAGCGCCGACAAGGCCGGGGUUCAAUUCCCCGCAACGGAA